GUAGUUUUUUUUGUAGUGUGUAUGGGGAAAACGGAGCUUUGCAGAAACAUUGUCAUAUUGGUGAUAAAACAGAUGGUGGCAGUAGCGCAGUAGACAGUCAAUGGAUGACUCGGCCUUCCCGAUCCCUGGAUCAACUGCGAUGGAGGCCUCCAGGAGGUCCUGAGGUCGCAGUAAAUCCCCGGCCCCUUGAGCAGCGGUGAGCCAGGCCUGACAGUUUCUGUGUUCCUGCCAUCCAAGAUGACACGUUAAAGGUUAAAGCUGUCACUGUCUGACUCCCCGUCCUGCUCGGACACGCUCGCUACGCCUCCGUGUCCGAUGGAAAAUCUACUUGACAGCAGAAAGCAGGAGGAGCUGCAGGAACGCUAAUGACAGUUUGGUUUCGGGAGCGAGGAACCGCAUCAGGAAGCUUAUUUUAGAUCUUGUCAUGAAAAGCUAUUUUUCCCUCCAACAUUUGCAUAACAUAACAUAAAGCACUUGCUGAGGCUCUUAUGUUGUCUCCUGGGACUUGAAGUGGAAAAAAAACCCCAGAUCUUCAUGUUACCUGGUAUCUCAUAUUCACAAUUCACAGACAGAAGCAAACUCACUUAUUAGACUUAUUAUAAACCUA